CAAACAAACAGUUUCCAGUUUUCUAUAGUAACUCUUAUCCCUUUAACUUUGCUUCAUUUUGUAACAGGAUCAAUUUUUAAAAGGAAAAAAAAAUCUAUCAUGAAAUUAGUAACAUGCUCUAAUAAAAUACAAAACAUUCUUACAAGCAAUAUUUCCAAUUUAAACAGAAUUUUGUUCACAUUUCUACAAAGUGCAGUAAUUCCCCCUCCUGUAUUUUCUCUCUCUUUCUUUAACAUGUUUAAAAGUUUCAAGUUCUACAGAUAGAGAUUUGGGGAAACAUCGAAUUAUUUUCAAAGAUGUCUAUUUUCCUUUACUCCUUGCACAAAGGGGAACUUUCUUCCCCUUCUCCAAAAAUCUCAUUCUUACCUGAAGUAAUUGCAUCCAACUUUUCCUCAGGUAAAAGAGACAGUCUUACAAAAUUUCAAAAUCACCAAUGAAGCACUUAAAGUAAGCACUCUUCUUUAUGCGUGUCCCUUACUUUGCAGUUUUUUUUUUUUUAUUCUGAAAUGGAAUCUUUUUAGCUCUCCACAAAUACCUUGGUGAGCCCUCAACACUUCCUAACCACUUAAUAAUUUUGACCCAGUCAGCCUCUUCAAAUAGAUCUUUAACCACAAGAAUGCUUGCAAUCCCCCGAACAUAGCCUCUGUCCAAAAGGAAAAGAUAGGAUUUUGUGAGGCCUAAAUGAAGUGAGAGAAAACAAAAUAAAUGUAGCUGAAGCUGAGAGUGAAAAGUGCUUGGACAGAUUGGUAUUUUCUUUUCUGCACUGCAUCCUGCCAAUCUUCUUCCCCCAUACCCCACUCCUUAAUUAGGUCCGAAUUUGGCAUGUAGGAAAAUGUUAUCUACCACCUCAAGUCCCCCCAUAAUUACUAAUGUUUUGUUUUAAUGGGUCUUCAUCCGACUGAUAUACUGCCCCCGCUUCACCCUGUCAACACCCCAACUCUGGGAGACCUUAGUUGUAGAAACCCUGCGGACCCCCGACGACUCAUCCCACCGGAUCCCUUUCAUAUGAUUUUUUUUUUCAGUCGUGAGAUUCCCCCACUGGAGAGGUUGCAGUGACAACCAGAAAUUUUCAUUUAACUCUCCCCUGCCUUCCUGGGCCCCAAUUUUGACCCGAUCGCUGUGGAGCAGCACAGCAGGGGCCGGCCUGGCUCCUUUGCUCCGGAAGGGUUUAAUUGCACACUCGCCUCCCGGUGGGUUUCAGGCCCCAAGGCUCGAAGAUCCCCGCCCAGCCGCGGAGCCUCCUCUACUUGGAUCCCUAGCCUCAGCUAGAGACUCGAGGACCCUGAGCCUCCCCGGCCGCCCAGAGGGCGGCGCCCUCCGGGGUACCUCCGCCCUUCGCUGCUGUGCCCACCCCCUGCCGGCAGAGCGCCUCUCGCCUGGGCCGCAGUAGUCAGUGAUCUGCUCCAUUGGGCGAACACCUUCGUUGGCCGACAUACACUCCAGCUUCGCAGGAGGCGGGCGCCGCUAGACCGCAGGUUAAGAGAUUGUGGCCAGACUAUAUAAUCGCUCCGGAGCGGGAAGAGGAGGGAUCAGCGCUCUCCUACUGCGGUAGCGCAGCGAUUUGGCUAGGCUGAGUGUGUCUGCAGCUAUGCCCAGCUUGCUCCGGCAGGCGAGGAGAUAGGUCCUUCCAGCCUGGAGGCUGCAAGUGUGACUCCUAGUGUCCUCUAGACGACACCUCUAAGGAAAGAGUGCGCACCGGGGUUCCAAUGUGCCUCGCCGCUGGCAGCCUCCAGCCAGCACUGAGAAGGACAGCCUGAGCCUCAGCCACCAGUAGUGUGAGUGCUUGGCAUAGAUCUGGGAAGGCGCCUACAGGAAGUCUUUCAAGAGUGAAGACCUGAAGAAAGGCUGCGGCUUCGUGGCUCCGAAGAGCCUCCAAGUGCAGACCCGCAAGGAGGCCAUGCCACUCUUCACCAUCCAGGAGGUGGCUGGCAAGAGGACCUGGAGACCUUUGAGCACCCCAACGUGGUCAGGCAGAUUCGGGUUGGAGAGAACAGUGCAACAGACUCAACAGUCAAAGAUAAUGUAAAGCGGAAAAAGCUACUGGUCCAAAACAUACAGGAAAUUCAGGACUCAAUGAGAAGAUCAAACCUAAGGAUAAUAGGUAUAGAAGAGAGUGAAGAAUCCCAGCUCAAAGGACCAGCAAAUAUCUUCAACAAAAAUCAUAGAAGAAAACUUCCCUAACCUAAAAAAAGAGAUACCCAUAGGCAUACAAGAAGCCUACAGAAUUCAAAAUAGCUUGGACCGGAAAAGAAGCACCUCCCGCUACAUAAUAGUCAAAACACCCAAUGCACAAAAUAACGAAAGAAUAUUAAAAGCAGUAGGGGAAAAAGGUCAAAGGUACACCUAUCAGAAUCACACCAGACUUUUCGCCAGAGACUAUGAAAGCCAGAAGAUCCUGGACUGAUGUCAUACAGCCUCUAAGAGAACACAAAUGCCAACCCAGGUUACAGUAUCCUGUAAAACUCUCAAUUAACAUACAUGGAGAAACCAAGAUAUUGCAUGACAAAACCAAAUUGACACAAUAUCUUUCUACAAAUCCAGCACUACAAAGGAUAAUAAAUGGUAAAGCCCAACAUAAGGAGGCAAGCUACACCCUAGAAAAAGCAAGAAACUAAUCGUCUUGGCAACAAAACAAAGAGAAGAAAAGCACACAAACAUAACCUCACAUCCAAAUAUAAAUAUAACAGGAAGCAAUAAUCACUAUUCCUUACUAUCUCUCAACAUCAGUGGUCUCAACUCCUCAAUAAAAAGAUAUAGAUUAACAAACUGGAUACGCAACGAGGACCCUGCAUUUUGCUGCCUACAGGAAACACACCUCAGAGAAAAAGACAGACACUACAUCAGAAUUAAAGGCUGGAAAUCAACUUUCCAAACAAAUGGUCGGAAGAAGCAAGCUGGAGUAGCCAUUCUAAUAUCAAAUAAAAUCAAUUUUCAACUAAAAUUCAUCAAAAAGAUAAGGAAGGACACUUCAUAUUUAUCAAAGGAAAAAGCCACCAAGAUAAACUCUCAAUCCUAAAUAUCUAUCUAAAUAAAUAUCCCAAAUACUAGGGCACCUAAAUACGUAAAAGAAACCUUACUAAAGCUCAAAACACACAUUGCAGUUCACACAAUAAUAGUAGGAGAUUUCAACACCCCACUCUCAUCAAUUGACAGAUCAUGGAAUCAGAAAUUAAACAGAGAUGUAGACAGACUAAGAGAAGUCAUGAACCAAAUGGACUUAACAGAUAUUUAUAGAACAUUCUAUCCUAAAGUAAAAGGAUAUGCAUCCUUCUCAGCUCCUCAUGGUACUUUCUCUAAAAUUGACCAUAUAAUUGGUCAUAAAACGGGCCUCAAAAGGUACAGAAAGAUAGAAAUAAUGCCAUGCGUGCUAUCAGACCACCACGGCCUAAAACUGGUCUUCAAUAAUAAUAAGGGAAGAACGCCCACAUAUACAUGAAAGUUGAACAAUGCUCUACUCAACGAUAACCUCGACAAGGAAGAAAUAAAGAAAGAAAUUAAAGACGUCUUAGAAUUUAAUGAAAAUGAAUGUACAACAUACCCAAACUUAUGGGACACAAUGAAAGCUAUGCUAAGAGGAAAACUCAUAACUCUGAGUGCAUGCAGAAAGAAACAUGAGAGAGCAUAUGUCAGUAGCUUGACAGCACACCUAAAAGCUCUAGAACAAAAAGAAGCAAAUACACCCAGGAGGAGUAGAAGACAGGAAAUAAUCAAACUCAGAGCUGAAAUCAGCCAAGUAGAAACAAAAAGUACCAUAGAAAGAAUAAACAAAACCAACAGUUGGUUCUUUGAGAAAAUCAACAAGAUAGAUAGAUAAACCCUUAGCCAGUCUGACGAGAGGACACAGAGAGUGUUUCCAAAUUAACAAAAUCAGAAAUGAAAAUGGAGACAUAACUACAUAUUCAGAGGAAAUUCAAAAAAUCGUCAGAUCUUACCAUAAAAGUCUAUAUUCAAAAAACUUGAAAAUCUGCAGGAAAUGGACAAUUUCCUAGACAGAUAGCAGGUACCCAGUUAAAUCAGGAACAGAUAAACCAGUUAAACAACCCCAUAACUCCUAAGGAAAUAGAAGCAGUCAUUAAAUGUCUCCCAACCAAAAAGAGCCCAGGUCCAGAAGGGUUUAGUGCAGAAUUCUAUCAAACCUUCAUAGAAGACCAUACCAAUAUUAUCCAAACUAUUCCACACAAUUGAAAAAGAUGGAGCACUACCGAAUUCAUUCUAUGAAGCCACAGUUACUCUUAUACCUGAAACACACAAAGAACCAACAAUGAAAGAGAACUUCAGACCAAUUUCCCUUAUGAAUAUCAACGCAAAAAUACUCAGUAAAAUUCUGGCAAACUGAAUCCAAGAACACAUCAAAACAAUCAUCCAACAUGAUCAAGUAGGUUUCAUCCCAGGCAUACAGGGAUGGUUUAAUAUACGGAAAACCAUCUAGAUGAUCCAUUAUAUAAACAAACUGAUAGAACAAAACCACAUGAUCAUUUCAUUAGAUGCUGAGAAAGCAUUUGACAAAAUUCAACACCCCUUCAUGAUAAAAGUCCUGGAAAGUAUAGGAAUUCAAGGCCCAUACCUAAACAUAUUAAAAGCCAUAUACAGCAAACCAGUUGCUAACAUUAAACUAAAUGGAGAGAAACAUGAAGCAAUCCCACUAAACCCAGGGACUAAACAAGGCUGCCCACUCUCCCUCCUUAUUCAAUAUAGUUUUUGAAGUCCUAGCCAGAGCAAUCAGACAACAAAAAUAAAUCAAUGGAUUCAGAUUGGUAAAGAAGAAGUCAAAAUAUCACUAUUUGCAGAUGAUAUGGUAGUAUAUUUAAGUGAUCCCAAAAGUUCCAAAAGAGAACUACUAAAGCUGAUAAACAACUUCAGCAAAGUGGCUGGGUAUAAAAUUAACUCAAAUAAAUCAGUAGCCUUCCUCUACACAAAAGAGAAACAAGCUGAGAAAGAAAUUAGGGAAACGACACCCUUCAUAAUAGACCCAAACAAUAUAAAGUACCUCUAAAAGAUCUGUACAAUAAGAACUUCAAGACUCUGAAGAAAGAAAUUGAAGAAGACCUCAGAAGAUGGAAAGAUCUCCCAUGCUCAUGGAUUGGCAGGAUUAAUAUAGUAAAAAUGGCCAUUUUACCAAAAGCGAUCUACAGAUUCAAUGCAAUCCCAUCAAAACACCAAUCCAAUUCUUCAAAGAGUUAGACAGAACAAUUUGCAAAUUCAUGUGGAAUAACAAAAAACCCAGGAUAGCUAAAACUAUCCUCAACAAUAAAAGGACUUCGGGGGGAAUCACUAUCCCUGAACUCAAGCAGUAUUACAGAGCAAUAGUGAUAAAAACUGCAUAGUAUUGAUACAGAGACAGACAGAUAGACAAAUGGAACAGAAUUGAAGACCCAGAAAUGAGCCCACACACCUAUGGGCACCUGAUUUUUGACAAAGGAGCCAAAACCAUUCAAUGGAAAAAAGACAGCAUUUUCAGCAAAUGGUGCUGGUUCAACUGGAGGUCAACAUGUAGAAGAAUGCAAAUGGAUCCAUGCUUAUCACCCUGUACAAAACUUAAGUCCAAGUGGAUCAAGACCUCCACAUCAAACCAGAUACACUGAAACUAAUAGAAGAAAAACUAGGGCAGCAUCUCGAACACAUGGGCACUGGAAAAAAUUUCCUGAACAAAACACCAAUGGCUUAUCCUCUAAGAUAUAGAAUCGACAAAUGGGAUCUCAUAAAACUGCAAAGCUGCUGUAAGGCAAAGGACACUGUGGUUAGGACAAAACGGCAACCAACAGAUUGGGAAAAGAUCUUUACCAAUCCUACAACAGAUAGAGGGCUUAUAUCCAAAAUAUACAAAGAACUCAAGAAGUUAGACCGCAGGGAGACAAAUAACCCUAUUAAAAAAAUGGGGUUCAGAACUAAACAAAGAAUUCACAGCUGAGGAAUGCUGAAUGGCUGCGAAACACCUAAAGAAAUGUUCAACAUUUUUAGUCAUAAGGGAAAUGCAAAUCAAAACAACCCUGAGAUUUCACAUCACACCAGUGAUAAUGGCUAAGAUCAAAAACUCAGGUGACAACAAAUGCUGGCGGGGGUGUGGAGAAAGAGGAACACUCCUCCAUUGUUGGUGUGAUUGCAGACUGGUAAACUAUUCUGGAAAUCAGUCUGGAGGUUCCUCAGAAAAUUGGACAUUGAACUACCUGAGGAUCCACCUAUACCUUUCUUGGUCAUAUACCCACAAGAUUCCCUAAAAUAUAAAAAAGACACAUGCUCUAUGUUCAUAGCAACCUUAUAUAUAAUAGCCAGAAGCUGGAAAGAACCCUGAUGCCCUUCAACAGAAGAAUGGAUACAGAAAAUGUGGCACAUCUACACAAUGGAAUUUUACUCAGCUAUUAAAAACAAUGCCUUUUUGAAAUUCAGAGACAAAUGGCUGGAACCCAAUCACAGAAAAACACACAUGGUAUUACUCAUUGUAAGUGGCUAUUAGCCCAAAUGCUUGAAUUACCCUAGAUGCCUAGAACAAAUGAAACUCAAGACGGAUGAUCAAAAUGUGAAUGCUUCACUCCUUCUUUAAAAGGGGAACAAGAAUACCCUUGGCAGGGAAUAGAGAGGCAUAGAUUAAAACAUACACAGAAGGAACACCCAGUCAGAGCCUGCCCCACAUGUGGCCCAUCCAAUUAGACAAGAUGGAUGAAACAAAGAAGUGCAGGCCGACAGGAGCUGGAUGUAGAUCGCUCCUGAGAGACACAGCCAGAAUACAGCAAAUACAGAGGCGAAUCCCAGCAGCAAACCACUGAACUGAGAACGGGACUCCUGUUGAAGGAAUCAGAGAAAGAAAUUGAAGAGCUUGAAGGAGCUCAAGACCCCUUAUGAACAACAAUGCCAAGCCACUAGAGCUUCCAGGGACUAAGUCACCACCUAAAGACUAUACAUGGACUGACCCUGGACUCUGACCUCAUUGGUAGCAAUGAAUAUCCUAGUAAGAUCACCAGUGGAAGGGGAAGCCCUUGGUCCUGCUAAGACUGAACCCCCAGUGAAUGUGAUUAUUGGGGGGAGAGUGGCAAUGGGGGGAGGGUGGUGAGGGGAACACCCAUAAAGAAGGGGAGGGGGAGGGAUUAGGGGGAUGUUUGCUCGGAAACCGGGAAAGGGAAUAACAUUUGAAAUGUAAAUAAGAAAUACUCAAGUUAAUAAAAAAAUAAGAAAAAAAAAGAUAGUAUACUGAAAGAAAGAAAAGGUGGUAUGGAAUAUGUGUAUAGCAGUUUUACAAAGAGUGUUUUACAGAGACUGGUUACAGAGAUAUCAAGCUAGAUACAGGUGAAGACAGAGUGAGCAAGAGAAUGAGAACAAGACAGAAAAUUAAAAAAUAUUGUCAAAGUUAGUAUGGAGCCAGGCAGAGCAAUUCAGUCAGAAACCCAGAGAAGCCAGACUGAAUCAGUCAGCUUGGAGAGGAGUUUUGAGCCAGAACAUCUGAGUUGAGCAGACAGCCAGAGUUCAGGAAGAACUAGAAGGAUGAGCUUAUUCAGCAGUAACCCUCUGAGGAGAGGAUUACAUUUGGCAUCCAAUGUAAUUGGAGAGAAAGAAAGCCAGCCCAUCAGUGUUGCAGACAGCAGAGUCUAUCUGAGAGAAAAUCACAGAGGACAGGAGACAUAUGAGAGAAAGCUACAGAAGAGAGAUUCACCUAGGAUCAUCUCCAAAGAAGGCAUCUGUUCUUCCAGUUCAGCUAGAUGGCCAGAGAGACUUAGAAGACUCUGGAGCAGCCGGAGCUUCAAUUCCAGAGUAAUGAAUGAUACAGGAGCCUCUGAGAGAGUGAAUCACAGUAAAUCAUCCACAAAGACAAUUUUAACAAUACAGACAGACUUUUCCUGCAUUAAAAAUGGGAAACUCCAUUUCAGAUCCCUGAAGAUCAAGAGCAGGAAUUGAAGGCAUAGAAAAAAUACUUGAAAAAGCAUUGCAGUAUUUAUUGCAACUGGGACCACUGGAGUAAAUCUUUCCCCACUUUCAAUUGAAAUAUUUAUAUAUUUCCUCUUUAAAAGGUGAUAUAGAUAUAUUAUUCUUGUAUGAAGUUCUCAAAAAAUAAAAUUAGUGAAAAUAAAUCGUUAAAAAAUAAAAAAGAAUUGUCACAUAUAUAUAUAUAUAUAUAUAUGUGUGUGUGUGUGUGUGUGUGUGUGUGUGUUGUGUGUGUGUGUGUGUGUGCGCGCGUGCGUGUGACAUGAACUUUGGGAAGAUAUAGAUAGGGAGGUAGGUAGAUAGAUAGAUAGAUAGAUAGAUAUUCCAUUAUUUGUUAUGUCAUUUAAAAAUAAUGAAAAGACAGCAAGGACAAUGAAACUAGAAUUUUGGCGAGGAUGUUCAGCGAAAGAUUGCUUUGUUACUGUUUUGAGUGAAGUUGAGUUUGUGAGGAAGAGAAAAAACCCUCAUGGGUGCUUAUCACUAAUGUUAUUCAUCAGAAGAGGGCUAUUUGGGGGACUCCAUAGAUGCUCAGUUCACUUUUGUAUGUGUUGAUUCAUUUAGAAGAUAUUUAUUCGGAGGAUAAGUCAUAUAAAGAAAAACAAAAUCUACUUGGGAUAGAUCUAGCACAAACUAUAAUAUUUAUACACCCCACCCCAACCCAUCCCACCCCCCAUCCAGGGGCAAAACUUUUGCUCAUUUUGUUUCAUUUGUAUUGGAAUUUCUCUUGAAUAUUCUGUGGCAUGAUUAUCAUUUACCAUGGUGUUAAUCAUCUGAAGAGAAUAUAGGGUCUUGGUAAGUAAUUUUCAAGCUGAUAGGCUUAAUAUAUGUACCAUUAGUGCUUGAUUUUAUAUUUAUUAUUCAAUGAUGUAUAUGUUAAUAAAAUGUAUAUAAAAUAGAAAUCUUCACAGAAUAAGAUUGGUACAGUUGAGAGUUUAUACUGUGUUCUCUCAUUAAACCCUAUUGGAUGAUUUGCCUGCUUAUUAAUAAAGCUUGUUAUAAAACUUG